GACGAACGCUGGCGGCGUGCUUAACACAUGCAAGUCGAACGGUAAGGCCCUUCGGGGUACACGAGUGGCGAACGGGUGAGUAACACGUGGGUGAUCUGCCCUGCACUUCGGGAUCAGCCGGGGAAACUGGGUCUAAUACCGCAUAGGACCCUGGGAUGCAUGUCCUGGGGUGGAAAGCUUUUGCGGUGUGGGAUGGGCCCGCGGCCUAUCAGCUUGUUGGUGGGGUGAUGGCCUACCAAGGCGACGACGGGUAGCCGGCCUGAGAGGGUGACCGGCCACACUGGGACUGAGAUACGGCCCAGACUCCUACGGGAGGCAGCAGUGGGGAAUAUUGCACAAUGGGCGCAAGCCUGAUGCAGCGACGCCGCGUGAGGGAUGACGGCCUUCGGGUUGUAAACCUCUUUCAGCACCGACGAAGCGCAAGUGACGGUAGGUGCAGAAGAAGGACCGGCCAACUACGUGCCAGCCGCCGCCGUAA
rnacentral:rRNA from 1 species